ACACAUGCAAGUCGAGGGGCAGCAUGGUCUUAGCUUGCUAAGGCCGAUGGCGACCGGCGCACGGGUGAGUAACACGUAUCCAACCUGCCGUCUACUCUUGGACAGCCUUCUGAAAGGAAGAUUAAUACAAGAUGGCAUCAUGAGUCCGCAUGUUCACAUGAUUAAAGGUAUUCCGGUAGACGAUGGGGAUGCGUUCCAUUAGAUAGUAGGCGGGGUAACGGCCCACCUAGUCUUCGAUGGAUAGGGGUCCUGAGAGGAAGGUCCCCCACAUUGGAACUGAGACACGGUCCAAACUCCUACGGGAGGCAGCAGUGAGGAAUAUUGGUCAAUGGGCGAGAGCCUGAACCAGCCAAGUAGCGUGAAGGAUGACUGCCCUAUGGGUUGUAAACUUCUUUUAUAAAGGAAUAAAGUCGGGUAUGGAUACCCGUUUGCAUGUACUUUAUGAAUAAGGAUCGGCUAACUCCGUGCCAGCAGCCGCGGUAAUACGGAGGAUUCGAGCGUUAUCCGGAUUUAUUGGGUUUAAAGGGAGCGUAGAUGGAUGUUUAAGUCAGUUGUGAAAGUUUGCGGCUCAACCGUAAAAUUGCAGUUGAUACUGGAUAUCUUGAGUGCAGUUGAGGCAGGCGGAAUUCGUGGUGUAGCGGUGAAAUGCUUAGAUAUCACGAAGAACUCCGAUUGCGAAGGCAGCCUGCUAAGCUGCAACUGACAUUGAGGCUCGAAAGUGUGGGUAUCAAACAGGAUUAGAUACCCUGGUAGUCCACACGGUAAACGAUGAAUACUCGCUGUUUGCGAUAUACUGCAAGCGGCCAAGCGAAAGCGUUAAGUAUUCCACCUGGGGAGUACGCCGGCA
rnacentral:rRNA from 1 species